rnacentral:rRNA from 1 species
AGUGAACGCUGGCGGUAGGCCUAACACAUGCAAGUCGAACGGCAGCACAGUAAGAGCUUGCUCUUACGGGUGGCGAGUGGCGGACGGGUGAGGCAUACAUCGGAAUCUACUUUUUCGUGGGGGAUAACGUAGGGACACUUACGCUAAUACCGCAUACGACCUACGGGUGAAAGCAGGGGAUCUUCGGACCUUGCGCGAUUGAAUGAGCCGAUGUCGGAUUAGCUAGUUGGCGGGGUAAAGGCCCACCAAGGCGACGAUCCGUAGCUGGUCUGAGAGGAUGAUCAGCCACACUGGAACUGAGACACGGUCCAGACUCCUACGGGAGGCAGCAGUGGGGAAUAUUGGACAAUGGGCGCAAGCCUGAUCCAGCCAUACCGCGUGGGUGAAGAAGGCCUUCGGGUUGUAAAGCCCUGUUGUUGGGAAAGAAAAGCAGCAGGUUAAUACCCCGCUGUUCUGACGGUACCCAAAGAAUAAGCACCGGCUAACUUCGUG